AUGAACGCUGGCGGCGUGCCUAAUCCCUGCCAGUCGAGCGAACAGAUGAGGAGCUUGCUCCUCUGACGUUAGCGGCGGACGGGUGAGUAACACGUGGAUAACCUACCUAUAAGACUGGGAUAACUUCGGGAAACCGGAGCUAAUACCGGAUAAUAUAUUGAACCGCAUGGUUCAAUAGUGAAAGACGGUUUUGCUGUCACUUAUAGAUGGAUCCGCGCCGCAUUAGCUAGUUGGUAAGGUAACGGCUUACCAAGGCAACGAUGCGUAGCCGACCUGAGAGGGUGAUCGGCCACACUGGAACUGAGACACGGUCCAGACUCCUACGGGAGGCAGCAGUAGGGAAUCUUCCGCAAAGGGCGAAAGCCUGACGGAGCAACGCCGCGUGAGUGAUGAAGGUCUUCGGAUCGUAAAACUCUGUUAUUAGGGAAGAACAAAUGUGUAAGUAACUAUGCACGUCUUGACGGUACCUAAUCAGAAAGCCACGGCUAACUACGUG
rnacentral:rRNA from 1 species